CUUAUGAUGCCUUUAAAUACAGUGAUUGGUUUUGCUGUGGGAUGGCCAGGGAGACAUUACACUUACUGACUAUAACCAUUGAGGACAUCUUCAGAAAUAUUCCUUCAUAACAAGCUUUACAUGAAGAGAAUAGGCAUGUUAUAAGCUUAUAUGGCAAGAACCUGAUGGUGGCCUCUAGAAGCUAAGGGUGGCCCCAAGAAGACAACCAACAAGUAAUAGUAUACACAACAAUGCAAGUUUCCUUUGUUGGAGGGUCCCUCAUGGCAAGUAAACAAGAGCAGACUGUAGCUCAUGGUCACAAAGAAAUAAAGCUUUUAUUUCUAAAGCCUCAAGAGACCAAAUGCUGCCCAAAAUCGUGUAAGCCUGGAAGCAGAUUUCUCUCCAAUUGAACCUCAAAUGGUAGCCCAAACGACCAGCUAAAUCACACCUACAGAAACUUUGAGUUAAUAACUUCAGACAUCUUGCCCUCAGAAACUUUGAAUUAAUAAAUUUGUGUUUUUAAAGCCA